rnacentral:rRNA from 1 species
GAUGAACGCUGGCGGCGUGCCUAAUACAUGCAAGUCGAGCGACCAGAUGAGAAGCUUGCUUCUCUGAUGUUAGCGGCGGACGGGUGAGUAACACGUGGGUAACCUACCUAUAAGACUGGGAUAACUCCGGGAAACCGGGGCUAAUACCGGAUAAUAUUUUGAACCGCAUGGUUCAAUAGUGAAAGACGGUUUCGGCUGUCACUUAUAGAUGGACCCGCGCCGUAUUAGCUAGUUGGUAAGGUAACGGCUUACCAAGGCGACGAUACGUAGCCGACCUGAGAGGGUGAUCGGCCACACUGGAACUGAGACGCGGUCCAGACUCCUACGGGAGGCAGCAGUAGGGAAUCUUCCGCAAUGGGCGAAAGCCUGACGGAGCAACGCCGCGUGAGUGAUGAAGGUCUUCGGAUUGUAAAACUCUGUUGUUAGGGAAGAACAAAUUUGUUAGUAACUGAACAAAUCUUGACGGUACCUAACCAGAAAGCCACGGCUAACUACGUGCCAGCAGCCGCGGUAA